rnacentral:misc_RNA from 1 species
GAGAGGAAAGUGUUAAGGCCGAGUUACAGCUCAGUGUGACACCUCCAGACGUCAACAUAGGAAGGAAACAUUUCUCACAAGAUAACAAUUAACAGCCUGUCAUGAUGGUGAACGUUCAGGAUAUUUGUGAAAAUAUGAGACUAGCAAGGGAAAUGGCCCUCACCAGCCAGUAUGAGACAGCAGCUGUGUACUACCAGGGUGUGGUGCAGCAAAUUCAUCGCCUGCUGGCUACCAUACAGGAACCUAACCGCAAGACAAAAUGGCAGCAGGUACAGCAGCAGGUUGCAGGAGAAUAUGAGAACCUGAAAGAGCUUAUGAACUGCAUCUCCUUAUUCAAGUCUGAUAACCCAUCAGCCCUCUCAGACAGACCGCUAGGCACCUCUUUGCGAAUGUCAUCCUUUGAGGAGCCAACUAGAGACCCUGAUGUAUGGGGCCCACCACCAGGACGUGACCCUGACGUAUGGCCACCACCGACCCCAGCUGACCACAAAUCCUUUGGAUUGUCCAGGUCCACUCAGGUGAAGCCAACACGAGGUCCCAGGAGGCAGGACUCUAGUAAGAAUGCAAAUACAGGACGUACAGGAAAGCCAGGCUCCAAGAAGGGAACUGAUUCCAAGACUGGGAGAGGGCGAGAUGAUAAGUCAACUGACCGUAAAGCGAGAAAGGAUUCGGACAAAAAAGAUGAAAAGGGUGGUGACAAGGGUGCAGAUGGACGUGGUGGGAAUGAAGAUGAAGACGAGAAGAAAUUUGAUCCUAGUGGAUAUGACAGAGAUCUAGUUGACAUGUUGGAACGUGAUAUUGUACAGAAAAAUCCCAGUAUUCGUUGGAGUGAUAUUGCAGACCUGCAUGAGGCGAAAAGGCUCUUGGAAGAAGCUGUUGUCUUGCCCAUGUUGAUGCCUGAUUUCUUCAAGGGCAUUCGUCGACCCUGGAAAGGUGUGUUAAUGGUGGGGCCACCAGGCACAGGCAAAACAAUGCUUGCUAAGGCUGUAGCGACAGAGUGUGGUACAACCUUCUUCAAUGUUUCCUCUUCUACCCUUACUUCAAAAUAUCGUGGAGAGUCAGAGAAGCUUGUUAGACUUUUAUUUGAAAUGGCCCGAUUUUAUGCACCCAGCACAAUUUUUGUAGAUGAAAUAGAUUCUCUCUGUUCUCGAAGAGGGACAGAAUCCGAACAUGAAGCUUCAAGACGUGUCAAGUCUGAACUUCUCAUGCAGAUGGAUGGUAUUCAGUCAUCCACAGACUGUGAAGAACCAAAGGUAGUGAUGGUCUUAGCGGCCACCAAUUUCCCCUGGGACAUAGAUGAAGCUCUUAGGAGACGCUUAGAGAAGAGGAUUUAUAUACCACUGCCCAAUAUGGAAGGAAGGGAAGCUUUGUUGAACAUCAACCUGCGGGAGGUUAAACAAGAUGAGUCUGUGGAUUUGACUCAAAUAGCGAUGAUGUUGAGUGGAUAUUCUGGAGCUGACAUCACAAAUGUUUGCAGGGAUGCCUCCAUGAUGUCAAUGCGACGUAAAAUAGCAGGACUUAAGCCUGAUGAAAUCCGUGCUUUGCCAAAAGAAGAACUGGAUCUACCAGUUACACAACAAGAUUUCCAUGAGGCAAUUCAGAAGUGCAAUAAAUCUGUGUCUCUGGAUGACUUGGAGAAGUAUGAGAAUUGGAUGCGAGAAUUUGGGGCUUCUUAAAUGACUUUCGUAAUGUGUUAUUAUAAAUGUGUACUUAUGAUUAAUUGAUUAUUAUUAUUUUCUGCUUACAUGACUUUUGCUGUGAUGCAGGAUGGCUGGACCAGUGCCGAUUCAUUGUAGUUAGCACCGUGUGGGUUAUUCUUUCACCCUGGCAGGAUGCUAGUCCAUAGGGCCAUAUGCAAGAAGAGUCAUCACGUACAUCUUGCUUUGGUAUCCCGACGGGCGCUAUGCAAGAAUCACUCGGUGCUUUAAAAAAAAUUAAAUUAAAUUAAUGCGAUUCAUUAUUGGAAUGUCGGUGAUUUCCGUGGUGCUCGCACCCCUUCCCAAUGCACACCACGAUGGAACUGUUUUGAAACCAAAUGAAAAGAAAUAAAAGUGGAUGUACAGGACAUAAAUUGUAGAAAUCUGCAAAGGAGUAAUAUUUUAUGAGAUAUCCUCCAUAUGGAACAGCCUAUGAAGAAUUUUGUUGUUCUUUUUAAAAGAAUUCCGUGUUUGCAUCGUGCACAAUGCUGGCCCUCUGUAAAAUUGCCAAUGAUCUUAUUGCUGACCAUUUAAAUAAUUAGUAAAUAUUUUUAUUUAUAUGAUCCGAUUAUUAUUUGAUUUUUUUUUGGUUUAACAAAUUUAUUGACAAAGCCUGGAGUACAGUUUGCCUAUUCUGAGUAUUCAGUCGGGCCUUGACACUGGGUGGUAUCAAUUCUCACUGCCACACAGGACAGGUUCAUACACAGAGAAAUACAUCAUAUUCAUUAACAGUAUACAGCUCCUCCCCGAUUUACGACCUACUCGACUUAUGACCACUCGCACUUACAACCUGCCUCA